CAGCAGCCACGGUAAUACGUAGGUGGCAAGCGUUGUCCGGAAUUAUUGGGCGUAAAGCGUGCGCAGGCGGUUAUAUAAGUCAGAUGUGAAAUCCCCGGGCUCAACCUGGGAACUGCAUUUGAGGCUGUAUGGCUAGAGUGUGUCAGAGGGGGGUAGAAUUCCACGUGUAGCAGUGAAAUGCGUAGAUAUGUGGAGGAAUACCGAUGGCGAAGGCAGCCUCCUGGGAUAACACUGACGCUCAUGCACGAAAGCGUGGGGAGCAAACAGGAUUAGAUACCCCUGUAGUCCCUGUCUCUUAUAC
rnacentral:rRNA from 1 species